AGAGAGGAUGCUGGGAGUGGGAGGGGCCAGGGGGUGGGAGAGAGGAUGCUGGGAGUGAGGAUGCUGGGAGUGGGAGGGGCCAGAGGGUGGGAGAGAGGAUGCUGGGAGUGGGAAGGGCCAGAGGGUGGGAGAGAGGAUGCUGGGAGUGGGAGGGGCCAGGGGGUGGGAAGGGGAGGGGAGAGGGAGAAGAGGGGUUCUGGGUGGGAAGGAUUGGGGAGCAAGAGGAGGGGAAUCCUGCAGCGGGAGAGGCCGCAGCUGUGCACAAGGUGAGCACUUCCCAGGCAGCUCUCUGAAGGCCAAAGGGCGAGCCCCGACGUACCCUGGAUGUCUCCGGAAUGGCCAGGCGAGCCCAGAGCCAACACGUGUGGUGGGACAGGACCUCCUGCAGCCACAAUCACGUCUGAACUUUUCUCUAUCAGGAGUGAAGAAGGCAAACACUUGGCAGAGACUCCUGGCCCCAGGUCUCCUCCCGCCUCCACUUCAAACACUUGGCAGAGACUCCUGGCCCCAGGUCUCCUCCUGCCUCCACUUCCAGCUGCAGGGAAGCUGCCAGGAUGCAGGCCCCACAGUGAUGAGGGUGAUUAUGACUGCUUCUGUGACAUGUAAGGCACAAAAAUUAGCAUGUGAGGUCGGACACGAGAGAAACCAAGGGCACUGGACUGUCUGGAGGAUGUUUUAAGGUCACAGGCUUAGGAUGUUAAAGACUCAAGAUGACAUUAUUCCUACCUCAAAAUAACAACAGCUUCUACAUUGCACACCCACUGGCUACCAACCUUCCAUUAACAUGCAGGUAAGAGCAAUUCCCGAGAGAGAAGCACAGCGUCAGGUUGUUUUUCUCAACUACUAAGAUGGUCAAGGGGGAAGCAGUCCAGGGUGGCCCAUUGGCUCUAGGGUGCCAUCAGGGACAUGGCCUCCUCAAAUCUUUCUGCUCAAUCAUUCCUAGGCUGCCUCAAACAUACAAGACAACAGCUGCACCUCCAGCAUUGCAUCUGCAUUCUCCACAGAGGACAGAAAAGGGCAAAGGCAA
rnacentral:lncRNA from 1 species